rnacentral:rRNA from 2 species
GGAUUAACGCUAGCGGGAUGCCUAAUACAUGCAAGUCGGACGAAGCACUUGUGCUUAGUGGCGAACGGGUGAGUAACACGUAUCUAACAUACCUUUUAGUGGGGGAUAACUGGUUGAAAAACUAGCUAAUACCGCAUAGGACAUUACUAUCGCAUGAGAAAAUGUUUAAAGUUGCGUUUGCAACGCUUUAAGAUUGAGGUGUGGCAUAUCAGAUAGUUGGUAGGGUAACGGCCUACCAAGUCUAUGACGUGUAGCUGUGCUGAGAGGCAAAACAGCCACAAUGGAACUGAGACACGGUCCAUACUUCUACGGGAGGCAGCAGUAGGGAAUUUUUCACAAUGGGCGCAAGCCUGAUGGAGCAAUCCCGCGUGAACGACGAAGGUUUUUUAAAUUGUAAAGUUCUUUUAUUGGGGACGAAUUGUAAGAAGAGGAAAUGCUUUUUAUUUGACUGUACCCUUUGAAUAAGUAUCGGCUAACUAUGUGCCAGCAGCCGCGGUAAUACAUAGGAUGCAAGCGUUAUCCGGAUUUACUGGGCGUAAAGCGAGCGCAGGCGGAUUUACAAGUCUGGUGUUAAAUAUAGCUGCCCAACAGUUAUAUGCAUUGGAAACUGUAAGUCUAGAGUGCAGUAGAGAGUUUUGGAACUCCAUGUGGAGCGGUGGAAUGCGUAGAUAUAUGGAAGAACACCAGAGGCGAAGGCGAAAACUUAGGCUGUUACUGACGCUUAGGCUCGAAAGUGUGGGGAGCAAAUAGGAUUAGAUACCCUAGUAGUCCACACCGUAAACGAUGGUAAUUAAAUCUUGGUACGGGAUGUAUCAGGAUUGCAGUUAACACAUUAAAUUACCCGCCUGGGUAGUACAUUCGCAAGAAUGAAACUCAAACGGAAUUGACGGGGACCCGCACAAGUGGUGGAGCAUGUUGCUUAAUUCGACGAUACACGUAAAACCUUACCUGGGUUUGACAUCCUCUGCAAAGCUAUAGAGAUAUAGUGGAGGUUAACAGAGUGACAGGUGGUGCAUGGUUGUCGUCAGCUCGUGUCGUGAGAUGUUGGGUUAAGUCCCGCAACGAGCGCAACCCUUAUCGUUAGUUACUUCAUCUAGCGAGACUGCCAGCGUAAGCUGGAGGAAGGUGGGGAUGACGUCAAAUCAUCAUGCCCUUUAUAUCCAGGGCCGCAAACGUGCUACAAUGGUCGGUACAAACUGUUGCCAAUCAGCAAUGAGGAGCUAAUCAGAGAAAGCCGAUCUCAGUUCGGAUCGAGGGCUGCAAUUCGUCCUCGUGAAGUUGGAAUCACUAGUAAUCGCAAAUCAGCCAUGUUGCGGUGAAUACGUUCUCGGGUCUUGUACACACCGCCCGUCAAACUAUGAGAGCUGGUAAUACCUAAAACCGUUAAGCUAACCUCGUGAGGCUUGCGUCUAGGGUAGGACUGGUAAUUGGAGUUAAGUCGUAACAAGGUACCCCUACGGGAAUGUGGGGGUGGAUCACCUCCUUUCUAACGGAGUUAAUUAAAUUUAAUUAACAAAUAUUAGAUAUAUUUGUGUACUUUAUUAAAAAAAUCCUAAACUGAAAUUUAUCUCAUGUUAUAUAAGAGUAAGUUCUAGGUCGGAUUCUAUUUAGUUUUGAGAGAUUUUUCUCUCAAGAUAGUUCUUUGAAAACUGAAUAUUAUAACAAUCUUUUUAGUCUAAUCAUACUUGUUAUUUUUCUAUAAAAAUAGCAAGAGGAUACAAUACAAAACAAAAUAAGUUACUAAGGGCCUAUGGUGGAUGCCUUGGGACUGGAAGGCGAUGAAGGACGUGCUAAUCUGCGAUAAGCUACGGGUAGUUGAUAAGAGACGUUUAUCCGUAGAUCUCCGAAUGGGGAAACCCAAUAGAUAGUGAUAUCUAUUAUCUUUUACUGAAUAAAUAGGUAAUUGAAGCGAUACCUGGUGAAGUGAAACAUCUCAGUAACCAGAGGAAAAGAAAACGAAGUGAUUCCGUAAGUAGCGGCGAGCGAAAGCGGAACAGGCCAAACCGGAUUAAUUUCCGGGGUUGUAGGACUACAAUGUGGACUUGGGAUAAAUAGUAGAAGUAGUUGGGAAGCUACACCAUAGAAGGUGACAGUCCUGUAAACGAAAUUUAUCUCAUACCUAGUAGUAUCCUGAGUACGGCGGGACACGUGGAAUCUUGUCGGAAUCUGCCCAGACCAUUGGGUAAGCCUAAAUACUAACCAGUCACCGAUAGCGUAUAGUACCGUGAGGGAAAGGUG